GAUGAACGCUGGCGGCGUGCCUAAUACAUGCAAGUCGAGCGACGCGGGGACAGGUGCGUAACACGUGGAGAACCUCCUCUAAGACUGUGGUAACUUCGGGAAACCGGAGCUAAACCGGCUACUUAUCGCUGGAUCGUAUAUGCAUUAGCUAGUGGGUAAGGUAACGGCUUACCAAGGCAACGCUGCAUAGCCGACCUGCGAGGGUGAUCGGCCACACUGGAACUUAGACACGGUCCAGACUCCUCCGGGAGGCAGCAGUAGGGAAUCUUCCGCAAUGGGCGAAAGCCUGACGGAGCCACGCCGCGUGUGUGAUGAAGGCCUUCGGAUCGUAAAACUCUGGUAUUAGGGAAGCGGUACCUAAUCAGAAAGCCACGGCUAACUACGUGCCAGCCGCCGCGGUAAUUC
rnacentral:rRNA from 1 species